GGGAGAUGGAGAUUCAGACUGUUGUUGCGCCUAUCUAAGGUGAGAAUCAUAAUUGUCAAAAAAGGAGUCUGGAACAAUCACUGGCAACUUAUCUAUGUACAUGAAAAGCCUUUUAAGGUUCUCCCUCGUCACUGUCGCCAUGUCCACUAUGUCCCGAUUAUCAGUAAAUACCCAGAGAUCUCCAGAAUUCACUCUCUUCAGACUAUCUCGACAGAAGGGGCAUGACUGCGACCUUGACCGCCAAUCGCGGUAACAUUUCAAGCACAUGGCAUGGUUGCAAUUGGGCAGUACAAUCUUAGUAUUCAUCUCCAUGCAUAUUCCACACUCCUGUUCCCUUUCAAUGUCAACAUCUGUCUGCUGCCUAUGUUCUUCAUCAUCUCUUCUUCGGAACCUUUCCAUACAUGCUGCCUUCUGUUUCUUAUCCUCUGUAUCAGUGACCCCACUUUGAAGCUGCAAUAAAGAGGGAUAAAUAACCGCAUAGAACUCCCUAAUACUCGCUUUUCUUUCAUGAGUAGACAUGGUGGUCGUGCCAUCUACAUAAACCUUAUAAAUUAGGAUUCUCAACAGUCCAAGCGCGCCUGCUAGGUGACAGUCUGACCACUGAACUAGAAAAAGAAACAGGUGAGCAGCUGGGCUAUAUGACAUUCUCAUCUGAAGACAGGCACCAUCAUAAUCCC
rnacentral:misc_RNA from 1 species